CCUACGGGGGGCAGCAGUGGGGAAUUUUGGACAAUGGGCGCAAGCCUGAUCCAGCUAUUCCGCGUGUGGGAUGACGGCCUUCGGGUUGUAAACCACUUUUGUAGAGAACGAAAAGUCUGUUGAUAAUACCGAUAGAUGAUGACGGUACUCUAAGAAUAAGCACCGGCUAACUACGUGCCAGCAGCCGCGGUAAUACGUAGGGUGCGAGCGUUAAUCGGAAUUACUGGGCGUAAAGGGUGUGCAGGCGGUUUUGCAAGAGGGAUGUGAAAGCCGCGGGCUUAACCUGGGAAAGCCAUACAUGACUGCAAGACUAGAGUGCGUCAGAGGUGGGUGGAAUUCCAAGUGUAGCAGUGAAAUGCGUAGAUAUUUGGAAGAACACCGAUGGCGAAGGCAGCCCCCUGGGACGCAACUGACGCUCAUACACGAAAGCGUGGGGAGCAAACAGGAUUAGAUACCCCAGUAGUC
rnacentral:rRNA from 1 species